rnacentral:rRNA from 1 species
AUGUGCGGCUAGGCCACCCUGAACACGCCCGAUCCUGUCUGAUCUCGGAAGCUAAGCAGGGUCGGGCCUGGUUAGUACUUGGGUGGGAGACCACUUAGGAAGACCAGGUGCUGUAGGCA